GUGGAUGUGGCAGAAAUUAUGUGUCUGAUUUAAGCUUAGGUUAUAGGUUAUUUUAACCUCUUUCACU
rnacentral:tRNA from 1 species